UCAAAAGAAGUCUUCAACAUCAACACUUUCUUCCACGCCUCAGCGAGAACUUUUCGCCUCAGUUCCCUAGUUACACUUGGAGAAAUGGAGCCAUGCUUUGGGAAUUCUGUUUCAUAUAUUCCUUUCAAAGUUACUUUAUUUAUAAAUUAGUGGCUUAUACGUACAUAUCUGAGAACCGAUUUCGAUGCAGUAGGUGGGCAUGACAAGACAAACAUCUGGGACGGACACCCAAAGGGAGGCAACCAGUACAUAGAAGCUGGAGCAGGAGCAGCAGCUCACAGCUUUUGCCCACGAAACUGUAGCCAAACGAAACUAGUUUCGAGCCUGGGCUUGGCCCCACUCCCUGCUGCAUCCCUGAGCAAGUGAUAACCAAACUGGGAACGGGAAGAUGCAGAGCGAACCUAAGGGUUCCAGGCAGCCAGCAAAUGGGUUGGUUCGGGAUGAGUCGUCGUCGUUGGCUGUGCAGCUUGUAAACUUUUUAGCUGCUGAAUGGCUUUGACUUUGACUUUGAAGCGGCUCGAAUGGCUGCAGGCGGAAGACACGUCAUUGACCUCCUGGCGGGAGAAGUAGGAGUCAUCCGAUAGGUGCACAGCGAGAAAAUACUACUUGAGUUUUCAAAUUGUUACCUUAAAACGAAUAUAGCUGCAGCACAAGCCAAACCCAAAAUGUAAAACCCAUAAAGUUUUACUAAUUGUUCCUCUGUAUAGAAGGCAAAUGCAAUGAUACAGUUAUGAAUAAACCAGGUAUUUAGUUAGCA